rnacentral:rRNA from 1 species
CACGUAGGGCGCAAGCGUUGUCCGGAAUUAUUGGGCGUAAAGAGCUCGUAGGCGGUCUGUUGCGUCCGCUGUGAAACUCGGGGCUUAACCCCGAGCCUGCAGUGGAUACGGGCAGACUAGAGGUAGGUAGGGGAGAAUGGAAUUCCCGGUGUAGCGGUGAAAUGCGCAGAUAUCGGGAGGGACACCGGUGGCGAAGGCGGUCUCUGGGCCUUACCUGACGCUGAGGAGCGAAAGCG